rfam:Rhizoclosmatium globosum strain JEL800 BCR33scaffold_330, whole genome shotgun sequence.
UUACCGGUAGUGUAAUGGUUAACACGAAAGGCUCAUAACCUUUAAAUAAGAGUUCGAUUCUCUUCCGGUGAU